rnacentral:rRNA from 1 species
GACGAACGCUGGCGGCGUGCCUAAUACAUGCAAGUAGAACGCACAGUUUAUACCGUAGCUUGCUACACAAUAGACUGUGAGUUGCGAACGGGUGAGUAACGCGUAGGUAACCUGCCUGGUAGCGGGGGAUAACUAUUGGAAACGAUAGCUAAUACCGCAUAAUAUUAAUUAUUGCAUGAUAAUUAAUUAAAAGGUGCAAUUGCACCACUACCAGAUGGACCUGCGUUGUAUUAGCUAGUAGGUGAGGUAACGGCUCACCUAGGCGACGAUACAUAGCCGACCUGAGAGGGUGAUCGGCCACACUGGGACUGAGACACGGCCCAGACUCCUACGGGAGGCAGCAGUAGGGAAUCUUCGGCAAUGGACGAAAGUCUGACCGAGCAACGCCGCGUGAGUGAAGAAGGUUUUCGGAUCGUAAAGCUCUGUUGUAAGAGAAGAACGGGUGUGAGAGUGGAAAGUUCACACUGUGACGGUAUCUUACCAGAAAGGGACGGCUAACUACGUG